rnacentral:lncRNA from 1 species
UAAAGGUUUGGAGAAUAAAAAUUGUUUGUUAUUUAAUGUUGACAGCUACUGGAUUUGAUCACAAUAAUGAUAAGAACAAGUGGGCCAAAUGGAGUUAGCCCGCGCAGAUUUCAAGCGAAUGGAUCAAAUUAGAGUAACAUUGCCUCGACAUUGGAGUUUAGGAACUCCAGUUAACAUGAUUGUAUAGUGGCGGGCCUAAAUAUGUCCAGGCCCAAUACACAUAUGACAAUCAAUUAUAAGAGAUUAAACAGUGGCUUAAGCCCAAUACGCAUAUGACGACAAUUAUGAUAGAUUGAACAGUUUUACAAAGUCAGUUUAAAACCCUAUCCACUUUAACAUACAAAAAUUGGUUAUAUUCAUACUUUAAUUGCAAUAAACUAUGACAUGAAGAUGAAAAACACUAAUACAAUGACCCACAUUAUACAAAUAAUAUCAAAUUAAUUCUAAACCCAUUUCUAUGAGCUUCCAUGGGAACAAGCUGUCUCUGGCUGACUGUCCUUCUUAUUUGCAAAUCAUUUCUUGAUUCAUAAAGGAAUAACAUUGGGCUAUCCUCUUAUAGCAAAUUGGAUAUGAACAGAGCAAACAGUUAGGAUUAAAUUACCCUCCUAAAAUUACUUGAAACAGAAAACACCUAUCUCAGAAUUUAGACGGCUAUCAGCAGUAAACAUUAAACUAUCCAUUAACAUCUGACUAGUUGAAUAUCUAACUUUAACCUACUUAUACUUUCAAAGCAUAACAAAGAGGGAAUCUCAGGCCAAUUCAGCUACUAUACAUACUAGGUUCAAAUAAUUGAACAUAAUUAGAGGAUGAAUAGUAUCACAACUUUAACAUAGAAGACCAUUCAAAACGAACUUAACAAUUGCACAUGAUGAGUCUAUGCAGUUAAACAUAAUUAAGAAAUAAACAAAUCACAUUUUUUAUAUAGCAUUCAAAUAGGAGUAACGUGGAUGUGUAAACAUACCUAACUUGCAAAGGAAUAACAAAAAAUAAUCAAAUAAUGUUCUGAAAACAGAAGAUGAAGUCCAGCAACUCCAGGAACAACAGUAUAUAUCUACCACAACUUCAGUAUCAGUUCAUAACUUAGCUCAGGAACCCAGAACACGAAGAAAAUUCCUUCCAGAUUUUUGUAAAAGAAAGAAAAAUAGGAAAAUCGGAAGCUGGAUUUUUUGUUCAGAGGAUUUUUAGGUCUGUAUGCUGAUGAGUGUGUGUAUGAGAAUGAGUGAAUGGCUUUCUUUUUAUAGUGUAUAUCCAAAAUAGCAUCAAAA